CCGUUGAUCCUGCGAGAGACUGCUGCUAUUUGGAUUCGCCUAAGCCAUGCAAGUCGGGUGUCCGCAAGGACUUCCGGCACAAGGCUCAGUAACACGUCGAUAAUCUGCCCUUAGGUCUAUGCGAACCUCGGGAAACUGAGGCUAAACUUGAUAGGGGUUAUGAACUGGAAUGUUCUUCCCCUGAACUAAGGAUGAGUCGGCGGCAGAUUAGGUAGAUGGAGAGGUAACGGCUCACCAUGCCUAAGAUCUGUACGGGCCAUGAGAGUGGUCGCCCGGAGAGGGAUACUGAGAUACUGAUCCCAGCCCUACGGGGUGCAGCAGGCGCGGAAACUUUACAAUGCACGCAAGUGUGAUAAGGGAAUCCAAAGUGCUUACGCUUUGCGUAGGCUUUUGCCAAGUCUAAAUAGCUUGGAGAAUAAGUGGUGGGUAAGACUGGUGCCAGCAGCCGCGGUAACCCCAGCGCCACGAGUGGGAGUCGCUUUUAUUGGGCCUAAAGCGUCCGUAGCCUGUUUUGUAAGUCUUUUGUGAAAUUGUUAGGCUUAACCUAACAGCGCGCAAGAGAUACUGCAUUUCUAGAGACCGGGAGGAGUAUGGGGUAUUCCAUGGGGAACGGUAAAAUGUAAUAAUCCAUGGAGGACCACCAGUGGCGAAGGCGCCAUACUAGAACGGAUCUGACGGUGAGGGACGAAGGCUAGGGGAGCAAAACGGAUUAGAUACCCGAGUAGUCCUGGCAGUAAACUCUGUAUGCUAGGUGUUGCAUUUUCUUGUGAACGUGCAGUAUCGAAGUGAAGACAUUAAGCAUACCGCCUGGUAGUACGGUCGCAAGGCUGAAACUUAAAGGAAUUGGCGGGGGAGCACUACAAGGGGUGCAGCGUGCGGUUCAAUCGAACUCUACGCCGAGAAUCUCACCAGGGGCGACUGCAGAAUGAAGAUCAAGCCGAUGACUUUAUCAGACGAGCAGAGAGGUAGUGCAUGGCCGUCGUCAGCUCGUGCCGCAAGGUGUCCUGUUAAGUCAGGCAACGAGCAAGAUCUGCGUCUACUAUUGCCAGCAGGAGGGUAACCUCGGCUGGGCACAUUGUAGAGACUGCCUUGGAAACAAGGAGGAAGGUGCAGGCAACGAUAGGUCUGUAUGCUCCGAAUCUCCUGGGCUACACGCGCGCGACAAUGGAUAGGACAAUGGGCUGCAACACCGAAAGGUGAAGCUAAUCCUCUAAACCUAUUCUUAGUUUAGAUUGAGGGUUGUAACUCACCCUCAUGACACUGGAAUCCCUAGUAAUCAGAAGUCAUCAUCUUCUGGUGGAUAUGUCCCUGCUCCUUGCACACACCGCCCGUCAAACCAACCGAGCAUAAUUUAGAUGAGGCCGUGCUUAACUGGUACGUUCGAAUCUAAGUUAAGUGAGGUGGGUUAAGUCGUCACAAGGUA
rnacentral:rRNA from 1 species